rnacentral:rRNA from 1 species
GACGUAGGAGGCGAGCGUUGUCCGGAUUCAUUGGGCGUAAAGAGCGCGCAGGCGGCUUGGUAAGUCGGAUGCGAAAUCCCGAGGCUCAACCUCGGGUCUGCAUCCGAUACUGCCCGGCUAGAGGUAGGUAGGGGAGAUCGGAAUUCCUGGUGUAGCGGUGAAAUGCGCAGAUAUCAGGAGGAACACCGGUGGCGAAGGCGGAUCUCUGGGCCAUUACUGACGCUGAGGAGCGAAAGCGUGGGGAGCGAACAGG